rnacentral:rRNA from 1 species
GAUGAACGCUGGCGGCGUGCCUAAUACAUGCAAGUCGAGCGAACAGAUGAGGAGCUUGCUCCUCUGACGUUAGCGGCGGACGGGUGAGUAACACGUGGAUAACCUACCUAUAAGACUGGGAUAACUUCGGGAAACCGGAGCUAAUACCGGAUAAUAUAUUGAACCGCAUGGUUCAAUAGUGAAAGACGGUUUUGCUGUCACUUAUAGAUGGAUCCGCGCCGCAUUAGCUAGUUGGUAAGGUAACGGCUUACCAAGGCAACGAUGCGUAGCCGACCUGAGAGGGUGUUCGGCCACACUGGAACUGAGAACCGGCCCAGCCCCCUAGGGGAGGCAGAGGUGGGGAAUCUUCCGCAAUGGCCGAAGGCUUGCCGGAGCACCGCGGCGGGAGUAAUGAAGGCCUCCGAAUCGUAAACCCCUGUUAUUAGGGAAGAAAAAAUGUGUAGGUACCUAUGCACGUCUGGACGGUACCUAACCAGAAAGCACCGGCUACCUACGU